GACGAACGCUGGCGGCGUGCUUAACACAUGCAAGUCGAACGGUGACGAGGAGCUUGCUCCUCUGAUCAGUGGCGAACGGGUGAGUAACACGUGAGCAACCUGCCCCAGACUCUGGGAUAACAGUUGGAAACAGCUGCUAAUACCGGAUACGAGACGGAGAGGCAUCUCUACCGUCUGGAAAGUUUUUCGGUCUGGGAUGGACUCGCGGCCUAUCAGCUAGUUGGUGAGGUAAUGGCUCACCAAGGCGACGACGGGUAGCCGGCCUGAGAGGGCGACCGGCCACACUGGGACUGAGACACGGCCCAGACUCCUACGGGAGGCAGCAGUAGGGAAUAUUGCGCAAUGGGCGAAAGCCUGACGCAGCGACGCCGCGUGGGUGAUGAAGGCCUUCGGGUUGUAAAACCCUGUCCUUGGGGAAGAAGGAAGUGACGGUACCCAAGGAGGAAGCCCCGGCUAACUACGUG
rnacentral:rRNA from 1 species